GAGGGUAUAGCUCAAGGGUAGAGUGCCUGCUUAGCAUGCACGAGGUCCUGGGUUCAAUUCCCAGUACCUCCA
rnacentral:tRNA from 1 species